UUUUCUUUGUUGUUAAUGUAUCAUAUAUGUUCGACAUAUAUUUGCAUUUGAAAUAUUUUUAUUUUCUUCAUUUAUUUCGUUGAUUGGGAUGUGAUUGCUAUUAUUAGAGAAGCUAAGAUUGGUAGUGUUUCACCAAACUUUUCGGUUCUUCUUUAUUUUGUCUUCACUCGGACCCCAUAGAAUUACUAUUUUUACCAAAAUUUAAAUCAG
rnacentral:lncRNA from 1 species